GACGAACGCUGGCGGCGUGCUUAACACAUGCAAGUCGAACGGAAAGGCCCUGCUUUUGUGGGGUGCUCGAGUGGCGAACGGGUGAGUAACACGUGAGUAACCUGCCCUUGACUUUGGGAUAACUUCAGGAAACUGGGGCUAAUACCGGAUAGGAGCUCCUGCUGCAUGGUGGGGGUUGGAAAGUUUCGGCGGUUGGGGAUGGACUCGCGGCUUAUCAGCUUGUUGGUGGGGUAGUGGCUUACCAAGGCUUUGACGGGUAGCCGGCCUGAGAGGGUGACCGGCAACAUGGGGACUGAGAUACGGCCCAGACUCCUACGGGAGGAAGCAGUGGGGAAUAUUGCAAAAUGGCGGAAGCCUGAUGCAGCAACGCCGCGUGCGGGAUGACGGCCUUCGGGUUGUAAACCGCUUUCGCCUGUGACGAAGCGUGAGUGACGGUAAUGGGUAAAGAAGCACCGGCUAACUACGUG
rnacentral:rRNA from 1 species